AGAUUGAACGCUGGCGGCAGGCCUAACACAUGCAAGUCGAGCGGCAGCACGGGUACUUGUACCUGGUGGCGAGCGGCGGACGGGUGAGUAAUGCCUAGGAAUCUGCCUGGUAGUGGGGGAUAACGCUCGGAAACGGACGCUAAUACCGCAUACGUCCUACGGGAGAAAGCAGGGGGACCUUCGGGCCUUGCGCUAUCAGAUGAGCCUAGGUCGGAUUAGCUAGUUGGUGAGGUAAUGGCUCACCAAGGCGACGAUCCGUAACUGGUCUGAGAGGAUGAUCAGUCACACUGGAACUGAGACACGGUCCAGACUCCUACGGGAGGCAGCAGUGGGGAAUAGUUGGACAAGUGGGACGAAAGCCUGAUCCAGCCAUGCCGCGUGUGUGAAGAAGUCUUCGGAUUAGUAAAGCUACGUUUAAGUUGGGAGGAAGGCAGUUACUAAUACGUAUCUGUUUGUACGUUACGACGAGAAUAAGCACCGGAUAACGUCUGUCGACCUAGACG
rnacentral:rRNA from 1 species